GAUGAAGAACGCAGCGAAAUGCGAUACGUAAUGUGAAUUGCAGAUUUCAGUGAAUCAUCGAAUCUUUGAACGCACAUUGCGCCCGCUAGUAUUCUGGCGGGCAUGCCUGUUCGAGCGUCAUUUCAACCAUCAAGCCCUAGGCUUGCGUUGGAGCCCUGCGGCUGCCGCAGGCUCCCAAAUCCAGUGGCGGGCUCGUCGUCGUACCGAGUGCAGUAAACAUCCUCGCUCAGGGAACGUGACGGGUUCUUGCCGUGAAACCCCCCACAUAUCAAGGUUGACCGCGGAUCAGGUAGGAAUACCCGCUGAACUUAAGCAUAUCAAUAAGCGGAGGA
rnacentral:misc_RNA from 1 species